rnacentral:rRNA from 1 species
AUUGAACGCUGGCGGCAUGCCUAACACAUGCAAGUCGAACGAGACCUUCGGGUCUAGUGGCGCACGGGUGCGUAACACGUGGGAAUUUGCCUCGGGGUAUGGAAUAACUCAGGGAAACUUGAGCUAAUACCGGAUACGUCCGUAAGGAGAAAGAUUUAUCGCCAAAGGAUUGGCCCGCGUCCGAUUAGCUAGUUGGUGAGGUAACGGCUCACCAAGGCUACGAUCGGUAGCUGGUCUGAGAGGAUGAUCAGCCACAUUGGGACUGAGACACGGCCCAAACUCCUACGGGAGGCAGCAGUGGGGAAUAUUGGACAAUGGGCGCAAGCCUGAUCCAGCCAUGCCGCGUGAGUGAUGAAGGCCUUAGGGUUGUAAAGCUCUUUUGUCCGGGAAGAUAAUGACUGUACCGGAAGAAUAAGCCCGGCUAACUUCGUGCCAGCAGCCGCGGUAAAGUGACUACUG